AUGCAACAGCAACAACAAAGGCUGCCGUUCUGUGCGAUCCGGCGUAGCAAAGGUAACGGGGGGCUCAUGUAUGCCAAUCAACCGGCGAGACGCACCAUGAUCCUGAUACUGGCCCUGCUGGUCAUUUCUGAUGGAGUUGGCACUGCCACCUGCUCAACAGUCCCCGGUAACAGCACGGACAUGCUCUCGUUGCUAUAUUUCAAGCGGGCCAUCACCAACGAUCCAAGGCAAGUCUUGGGCUCUUGGAACGCCAGCAUCCCGCAUUGCAAGUGGGAGGGGGUCAACUGCAGCCUCACACACCCAGGUCGCAUCACGGAGCUGAACCUUGCCGAGCAAGGGUUGUCAGGUCCGAUUUCCCCAUCCCUUGGGAACCUGACGUUCCUUGAGACACUGGACCUAUCCACAAAUAGCUUCACUGGCGAGUUACCUCCACUCAACAGUCUCCAUAGACUGCAAAAACUUUGGCUGAGUGAAAACUCUUUGCAAGGGAUCAUUCCAGCCACACUUACAAAUAGUUCCAACCUAAAUUCCUUAUAUCUAUCUGGUAACUCCCUGAUAGGUGAAAUCCCCCUUAAUAUAGGCUUGCUUUCCAAAUUAUCAGAAUUACAGAUUGCCGAAAAUAAUCUCACCGGAACGAUCCCACCAAGCCUGAAAAACAUCAGCCAGUUAGAAGUAAUCGAUCUUGCAGAUAAUCAACUCAUGGGUAGCAUUCCUAAUGAGAUAGGGCAAUUUCCGAAUCUGGCAGUUUUAUUACUUGGUGGUAUUACCCUAUCAGGUAGUAUCCCAACAACCUUGCUUAAUCAAUCUUAUCUGCAAAUUUUAGACUUAAGUACCAAUAUGAUAGGGAACACAUUGCCACCUAAUUUUGGUGAUACCCUCCCGAGGCUCGCAUGGCUCACAUUGGACUAUAACAAAUUUGAAGGUCACAUCCCAGCUUCGCUAGGUAAUAUUUCAGGGCUAUCAACAUUGGACCUAUCAUUCAACAAAUUGACAGCUCAAGUUCCAAGUUCUCUUGGUAGGCUUGGAAUGUUGAACGAUCUAAACCUUCAGAAUAAUAAACUUGAAGCAAAGGAUAUUCAAAGCUGGGAAUUCAUAGAUGCAUUGAGCAAUUGCACAUCUCUGCAAGUUCUUGCAGUAGGUCAAAAUCAGUUACAAGGAGCUAUACCAAAUUCUGUUAGCAACCUGUCAAGCAAACUUCAAAUACUAACAUUAGAUAGAAACGACUUGUCAGGGACAAUACCCACUAACAUGGGGAAUCUUAGUGGCUUAACAUUACUAAACUUGCGUAGAAACAAGCUCAGCGGUUCCAUUGAAGGAUGGGUUGGAAAGCUGAAAAAUCUAGCAAUUUUAGUUCUUGAUGAGAAUAACUUCACUGGCCCAAUACCAAACUCUAUCGGUAAUCUUACUAAAUUGAUAAAGAUCUAUCUAGCAAGCAAUGAGUUUGAAGGUCCGAUACCCUCCAGUAUGUGA
rnacentral:rRNA from 1 species